UUCUGGUUCCCGUAAGAAAACCAAAGUUAAGCAAAGUCGAGCCUGGUUAGUAAUUAGAUGGGUAACCGCUUGGGAAUACCAGAUGCUGUAA